CAGACAACCCUAAUCCCACACUUAGCGCUAAAUAAAAUCAAUUCCCUCCCACACUUAGCUGGAAACUCACACAGCCCUCAAUUCAGAGACCUCUCCCUCUCCCGGCCGUCCACAGCCGUCGUGUCUUGCCUCCCCGGCCAGCCACCGACGUCGCCGUCUUCCCUCUCCGGCCAGCAACCGCCAUCGCAUCUUCCCUCCCCGACCAACAACCUCCGUCCUCGUCGCUCCAACAUCCUAUCUUAAACCCUAAUCCCUAAAUUCCAUUUUUGUUUUAUACACGAUUUCUUUCUUUCUUUUCCUUGAUGUUUCUUUGUUUUAUACACGAUUUCUUUCUCUGCAAAGGUAUAAGCCGUCCGUCAGCCACGCCAUUGUCAUGUAGCCUCCCCUCGCUGCCAACCGCCUCGCUUCCUCGCCGCCAACAGUCACAGCAACGACUGCUAUCGCCUCCUCACCGCUCGCUACUGCGUCGGCGGCGAGCGACCGACGCAGUCCGCCGCCUCGGAGACGACAAAGACUACAAAUUCAAAGACAUAGAGUUCGCAAAGACGACGACCGGCGCACACGGAGCAGUCCCUUGGCCUUCGCAACUGUCUCUGUCGCAGGCACGCAGCAACCCCUCUCCCUCGGCCAGCGAGGCUCCUUCCCCUUCGGCCUUAGCAAGUAGCAACUGUCUCCGACAAGCACGCAGCAAACCGCUUGCCCUCGCCCUCAUCUAUCCCCCUCCCGUCUCCGACCGACCACUCAAGUCUCAACUAUCAUUGCACCCAUUAGAGCUAGUUACCAUUGUGGUUGUGGUAGUACCCAAAGGACUUCCCUUAGCUGUCACUCUUACGAGGCUUCGAGAAGGAUGAUAAUGAUAAUGGUUUUUUCCAUUCUAAGAACUUGGCCAUGUACAUUACUGUAAUUUUCCUGGAUUUCCUCUACAUAGUUGUUCCAUUCAUUUUAUAUACAACUGUAUGUUGAGAGUAAUCCAGUUAUAUAGAGUAGGAAUGCAUUUGAUUAGAACUUUGUAAACAAUAUUUAGACUUGGUGAUUAGAAUUGUUCAUUGUAUUUUGAAGUAGAUGAUGAAUUUGUGUGUAUUUUGAAAUACUUUACAUACUUGUAGAAUAUGAUUGUACUAAUGAAUUGAUGGUUUGGUAUUUAUGGUGUUUGGAUAAA